GAUCGAUUUACGGCUCACACGUCCCACACUGACUUAUAUUUUUUGUUCAGUUACCAGGCUGCUUAUUCUUCAAAAUGUAGCGAACCAAUCCACACUUGUGUCUGAAUUUUCCCUUCGGGGGAAAUGUUCCGCCCUCUUUCUUUCCACUUUUCUUUUUAAACCCCCAGCCAUAUUCGGACGGCUCUUGACAAGCUACACAAUUCUUGACAUCAUUCCUUAGGUGCUCUCCCAUGUGGCAUAUUUCACGUGCGAAUUCUUGUUCAACAUAACCCUUCCUUGGUCCGGAGCUCAAAGACUUGAUUGUCAUCAUUCGAACGAUGGUCUCUCAUGGAAAUGCUUCACAUAAAACAGUUUACACGGACUAGAAGAGGAGGAAGAAGAACGAAAAGAGCUUGACACCCACCGAGAAGUUACGUACGGAAGCAUGCAUAAAGGAAACAAGUUAUAGUUAUGAUGGACAAUAUUAUGUAAAAGUAGACCAAGUUAUACACGCACGAUUUGUCUGACCUUAUUCAAUCCACAAGUCCUUUACACGGUCAUUAUUAUUAUUAUUUUUUAAAAGUACUUGAAGGCACGCAUGUAUUCCGAAGUCUACAAAGUUGGAUAAAAGCGUUAAGCUUUAGGAACAACCUAAAAAAAUUCACGAUGCCUUUGGAUUUUCUCGUCGUCCACUCACGCCCAAAACAUGUCGUCAGUUUUUAAAUCUAUAACUAUGUACACACACGCCUCUGUUUCACAAAUCAAAUACACAAAGCUACACACGUACCAAAUAUAAUAUAGGUAUUUGGAAUAAUCGGCAUGUUUCAUAAUCAAAUCCACCCUGAAACACUCCAUCACUAAUCGUACACGUACAUACUUAGGUCCAGUAGUCCACAUGUUACUCCAAAUUGACACAUAACUACAUAACUAUAUGGUUCAACCAUGAAAUAUCGAAUUUAGGAAUACGAUCAAAUCAUGAUUUAUGAACCGACUGUGCGAAGUAUAGAAUAUUAGAAAAAUUGUGCGGCAUAUUUACAUGUCGUGUUGUCACUUAACGAAUUUACAUAGAACUCCAGAGGUGCAUACAAUAACAAUACAUAUAAAAUAUACAAAUUGACUCAAUGUUCAUAAUCUAAAUACAAAUAUACACCGUAGCAGCAGUAACAAUCAUUCCAUUUAAGCGCAAGCAUUUCCAACAGAAUGAUUCCGUUAUGUACAAUGCACAACUUAUCGUUCGAGUUUGAUUUAUGUAAACCAAAAUUCAUAUUACUAACCGACUAAUGAAUUACUGCAAAUACAAGGAGGCAAACCCGUAUUAGCACAACUUUUCAAAAUUUAUCUCUCGAUUUUAAGUGUGAAUUUGUAAAGUUCCGCAUAUUGACAAUGAUUCAAAUAACUAUAGUCUUAAAACACUGCCUAUAAAAGUGCUGGUCAUGGUGUUGUCAGUCCCAGUUGUACUUAUCAACCAAAAACUGUGAACACGUCCAUUUUCAGAGGUUUCGAGUUUGAUGGUGCCAUUAGAAUGUAAAUAUCUCGAAGACGCUUACACACAAACAGCGGAUGCAUGCAUGGGGACUGUAAUGAGAGAGAGAAAGUAAUGCCUUGUGGGAAUCAUGGGUAAUUAACGGUGGGCAAGACUUGAGUGUUCACACGCCAAUAAACCAUUUUGUUAUGAAAUGCAGUUCUAUUUUGAGGCAAGAUUACUUUCAAUGAAAAUGAAUUUCAACCCUCAAACCCAAGUUAUUUAAUUUACGGAAACAGGGUGGCUGGACUUUUUCACCAACGUGUUGCGACAUCGUAAAUUAAUCAUACAAUUAAAUUCAUGCAUGGUCAGCAGAGUCAGAGUGAAUGGUGACAAAUGAAAUAGCGUAUGUAAUUAAUUAUUGGUAAAACUCUGUUAAAACUACGUCGGAGGUCGUGCGCCCUUCAAGAUCGUGGCAACAUAUUUAACAAACGUACAUGUACGAAUGUACGUACGUGGACAUAAUAUGUUGUUCUGCGCUUGAUGAGCCCGUGAAACUUCGGUAGUGCCAUAUUACCGUAAUCCUGAUAUUAUUACAAUACCUAAAUCCUAGAGAGCUUAGAGGUUAAUCAGGUUGCUAUUUAUUGCCAAUUCAAUGAAGUGGUAGUGCGUAUCCCAUAUCUGAAUAUUGUACAUUGUUACAUUGCUGUUUGAUUAUAAUAUGUCGUAUUGGUAGCUCUAUCAGUUGUGUAAUAAAUAGUUAUACGCUGUAUUAUGGAAGUGCUGUAGGGUUAUUCAACCAAAGUUUUUAAACCCAAAGAUACGUUGUCACAAAUUUAAUGUAAUUCCUUUACUUGCUGAAAACUACUUGGAUACGGUUAAUGCAUAAUGUAAUUAAGUAGCUUUAAGUGCGUCUGUAUUAAUUGUGAAUACAAAUGGUCUCAUCAAAGCAAGGGGCGUGAUAUUCAUAAUUAGGAAUUCAUGCUCGGUCCAUGAACAGCAACUAUUUCCACAACAAUUUAUAUAACUCAGUGUAUUAAUGACUUGUGGGCAAAGUUGAACAAUAGUCGAUAGCCGUCGAUGUAGAGCAGUAUCGCGUAACUUUGUAUGUAGCUUUUAAGAUUUUGUAGCAUUUGGUGUAUAUUGAUAACGCGUGCUCGUUUUAAACAAUUACGGUGCGAUAUAAAUUAACGUUAAAAUUACACAUGCAUGUCUAAUUAACUUAUUUAUUGCUUAUGUAUCAUAUUAUAAGUAUUCCUACGUAGUUAAUUCCCAGAACUCUGCGGCAGAUUUACUUAAGUAUGAAUACAUAUGUACUACGUGUGUAUACAUUAUAUACACCCAUAUAUGUGUAAGGCAACUAUAUUGUUUAAAAGUAAGAUAUAAAAUUGAUGAAUGAGUGGAACAGAAUGAGGUAUGUGCAACAUUUCAGCUGCCCAACGUCCGUUUUGAAAAUUGUAUUUUAUUUUAAGUAUUAGUUUCAAGAUCACAAAUCAGCAUUUGAAUAAUCUGAUUAACAAAACAGUCUCAAGUCAAAAAAUAUAUAAAGUUUACAAGUUGUAAGACCUCUCAAUUCAAAAUUUUAAAUGACGGUUAAUAAAUCAUAUCAAGUUUAAUAAGGA